rfam:Nomascus leucogenys chromosome 2, whole genome shotgun sequence.
UUUCCCUCAGGAUGGCUGGCACUCUUCCAAAACCCACCCCACGUGGUUUCAUCUGUAAAGCGAAUGAUUGGAGGUUUUAGGACCCAAAGGAUCUCCACCUACUCUCACCCUUUAGUUAGGUAAGAAGCCCGGCUUGCUGGCAUGUGGAGCUGGGUGUGGAAUGUGAGUGCCUAGUGGGCCGUGUCUGGUAAGCAGACCUGGCUUUGCGGGAUGAACCG